CGAUGAACCACAUUCGGUGGGGAUUAGUGGCGAACGGGUGAGUAACACGUGGGCAAUCUGCCCUGCACUCUGGGACAAGCCCUGGAAACGGGGUCUAAUACCGGAUACUGACCCUCACGGGCAUCUGUGAGGUUCGAAAGCUCCGGCGGUGCAGGAUGAGCCCGCGGCCUAUCAGCUUGUUGGUGAGGUAAUGGCUCACCAAGGCGACGACGGGUAGCCGGCCUGAGAGGGCGACCGGCCACACUGGGACUGAGACACGGCCCAGACUCCUACGGGAGGCAGCAGUGGGGAAUAUUGCACAAUGGGCGAAAGCCUGAUGCAGCGACGCCGCGUGAGGGAUGACGGCCUUCGGGUUGUAAACCUCUUUCAGCAGGGAAGAAGCGAAAGUGACGGUACCUGCAGAAGAAGCGCCGGCUAACUACGUGCCAGCAGCCGCGGUAAUACGUAGGGCGCGAGCGUUGUCCGGAAUUAUUGGGCGUAAAGAGCUCGUAGGCGGCUUGUCACGUCGGUUGUGAAAGCCCGGGGCUUAACCCCGGGUCUGCAGUCGAUACGGGCAGGCUAGAGUUCGGUAGGGGAGAUCGGAAUUCCUGGUGUAGCGGUGAAAUGCGCAGAUAUCAGGAGGAACACCGGUGGCGAAGGCGGAUCUCUGGGCCGAUACUGACGCUGAGGAGCGAAAGCGUGGGGAGCGAACAGGAUUAGAUACCCUGGUAGUCCACGCCGUAAACGGUGGGCACUAGGUGUGGGCAACAUUCCACGUUGUCCGUGCCGCAGCUAACGCAUUAAGUGCCCCGCCUGGGGAGUAC
rnacentral:rRNA from 1 species